AUUUGGAAAAAAAUCUCAAAAGUUUGAUUAAAAUAAUAGAAUAAUUUUAAGACAAAAGACAUGGAAGUUAAGUUUUUCUUAUUAUCACCCGUUGUUAACCGAGAUAUCGCCGAUGACGCGUAAGAGAUAGCAAAGACGCUCGCUCUGACGAAUCAGUUUCGGCUAAUGGUGGGGUUAACUCUGCAUCUAUUAACGAAGCAAGAAAUGCGUCUAUUAACGAGGCAAUACUAUACUUGACAUAAUACAGUAAAGACUACUCAAUGCUGAGUUCAUCGGCAGUGAAAGGACACUUUUGUGAGCAACAAAUAACGUAUGACGAACUCGUCAGCGAACACCGCAGCUAGGCGUUACAUCUGAAGAUUUACUCUGCUGAGAUCCGCCAAAGAUCUGCUCGUAUCUGGCUCAUGAAUUGUCAGCUCUAGUAUAAAUACAAUGAUAUUUCUGUUUAUGAAUAGUCUGUAACAGCUCGCGAAUUGAUCGUGAACUGCUGGCAAAUAGUUCUGGCCAAUUGUAGAUCCAAUAUAUCUAGUACGGAACAGCCAGCGAGUACGAGUGGUAAACACAACUUUUCAAGAUGUGAAAGUGAUACAGAUGUUGAAAAGGAAAACACUGGCCUGUAAAAUUACUCGCUUGACUGAUCCCCCCUUGAGAGAGCCCCCACCCCAUUUAUGGGGAUGCAACAAUUAAAAUACAGUCCUUUAUGAACAUUCGAAGUCUUGUUGAUAAUAUUUAUGUUAUAAAAAGAUAUUAACAUAAUAUUUUCUAGAAACUAUUUUUCAUGUUAAAAUGCAAUACUUUUCAAUUCUUCAAUGUUUUAGAUAUAAAAAUAAAGUCUUUUUUUAAUUACAAUACUUAGUACUUAUGUAAUUAUUUAUAAAUUAUAAAUUAUAAAUAAAUUAUAAACUAUUUUAUUAAUUUUGAUAUUUUUAAUACAUCUCAAUAACUAAUAGCAACAAAGUUCUACCAUUAAAAAUAUAAUAGAUGCGUGAUAUAUCUUCUCAUUUCAGCAAAUUAACAAAGACUAGUUUUGAUAUCAACGUUAUACAUAAGUACCUAUAUACAUGAUGCUAUAAGAUGAUGUCAUUGAGUGGUUCGGAACUAUAUGAAAAUAUUGUCACUUUUUUGGUGAUAAGUACAGAUAACAAAUGACACUUUCAAAUUCAUUUCUGUUAUCAUAAAAGGAUCACAUUUCUGGAUUUUUCAACAUGGAAUAUCAAUAAAAAUAUCUAUCAAUGUCUUAGUAAAUUGAGGUAUUAAUAUUUUGUACAUUGCGAUAUUUCUUGUAUGUUCUACUUUGUUAUAUUCUGAAUAAAAAUGUAAUGACUGGAAUCGUAAAUUAAAUAAGGCACACAUAUGAUUUACACUAACAUUGGAUUCAACAAACCUACAUUCCACUCAUUCUGGAAAAAUGAAGGCUAUAACUCCAACUUUUUAUAAUGUACAAUGCAAAAAAGCAGCAAUACAUUUCUAAAAUGAUCGUGGUGAGUCAUGAAACGUCCUAUUUAAAACAGAUCUUAUACACUUGACAUGAACAACCAUAAAUUUAUAGUUGAGGCAAUUUUUCUCAAACUGCAAAAAUAUCAAACACAUUGUUUAGACCACAAUUUAUAUGUUAGAUCACAAUGAGCAUUCUGUAUACACAAAAUGUUUCUUUGUAACUUGCUCAAAAUUCAUGCUUGUAUGUUAAUAUUGUUCUGAGAUUAUUUACUAUUUAAUUUUACGUGUAUAUUAAAAUGUUAGUUUCAAGUAACAUAAAUACACAAUUGAAAUGUAAUUUAAGAUAAAGAAGAUCAACAGAUUAUUAAAGUACCUUGCAAAUACAUGAUAACGAAUGAUCAUUAUUUUGACAUUAUACAACUAAAUAAGAUCGCCUAGACUAGUUGUAUUAAAAACAUGUUAUUAAUAAAGAAACAUUUAAAGACAUAAAGUUAGGUACUCCACCUUAUCUAGGUUAGAUAAAGAAUAAUUUCCUGUUUCUUUGUUAAUAACAUGCUAUUCACUUUCUAUCUGACUGUCAAAUGUAAACAUACUGUAAAUAAAAUCAGUGUGAAAGCUAAUGAUUCUUUAACAUCAUUUUUAACAGAAUGGUUCAAUGGCAAGGUAUGAUUUCUUUGAUUAAUUUGGCCCUUGUGAUGAUUACAAUAUAGGUAAAAAGAUUUGGCUAUUAAUACUAUGUCACAUGUAAUACUUUUUAUCAAUAGUAUUUGUGGAUCAUUUGAUAAUAUUAUUGUUUUAUAUAAUUUAUUAAUAAUGAAUUAUAUUUAAUUAUACAAAUGUUUUAAUAAUAAUGUUAAACUUUCAUAAGAAAAACAUCAAAAUAAUAAGAUCAACAGAAAUUCUCAAAUAUUUUAUGCAUUAUGUGAAUUAAUAGCUGUUUUAAUAUAUUCUGUCUCUCCACAUAAAUAGAACAUAUAUAUUAUAAAAUUUAUAAGGAAUUAAGUAUAAUAUUGUCACAUACAACAUUCAUCUUUAUUGUAACAGUUUGUAAAAAGUUUUUAUUUUACGAAUGUUGAUGAUUGCCACUAUAUAUUACAAACAUGAUAGUAAAUAUAAUCACAAAAAUUAAUAAUGAAUAUGUUUUAUUAUGUUAUUAAUGUAACAUAUCAAUCUGUUUUACACAUUUAAUAAUAAUAAUAAAAUUUAUAAUCUUUAGAACACAACCUUAUUCAACAACAAAAAAUAUUAUUACAUAUAUUUAAAGAGGAUAAUCAUAAAACAAUAUUUAAAAACAACAUUUAAAUACUUCAUAAGUUAAUAACAACAUUAUUUGCUCCAUUCUUAUGAGAUUCAUUAUAAAUAUUAUAAACACGAUGUUAUAAACACAAUAGUUGUACUUACUUUAUAAUAAAAUAUUAUAAUUCUUGCUAUAAUGUAUCAAAAUUGCAUCGAGUAACACCAACACGAACUGUUUAUGGACAUGUUACACAGUACUGAUGUGUAUUCACGAGUACAAGAACUAAUAAAAACUGACAUUAGAUUUUUUUUAAAUACUCCGAAACAUUAUCUCAAUUCAUUUUUAAAAAACUAAAGUGUACGAAACAUUCACAUUUAAUU